UACGUAGGAGGCAAGCGUUUGUCCGGAAUUACUGGGCGUAAAGCGCGUGUAGGUGGUGGGACAAGUCUGCUGUGAAAGCGCCUGGCUUAACCGGGCGAGGUCGGCGGAAACUGUCCGACUCGAGGACGGUAGAGGGGGGUGGAAUUCCCGGUGUAGUGGUGAAAUGCGUAGAGAUCGGGAGGAACACCUGUGGCGAAGGCGGCCCCCUGGGCCGGCCCUGACACUGAGACGCGAAGGCGUGGGGAGCGAACGGG
rnacentral:rRNA from 1 species